rnacentral:siRNA from 1 species
UCAUUGUCUGUUCUUUCUGUA